CUGUGAAAAUCCAGUCGUUUGUCAACAUGGAAGAUUAAAUCCCUCAUUCCGUCUGACUGUUCUGACCCCUGAUCACCAGGGGGCGCUGUGGAUCCGGAAGCUCACCCAGUACUUUCGGCUGGCUAUAGGGCUGACUACUGUCCUAACCUGCAUCCUGCCAAUAUGAAAUACUUUUGCUGAAGGACACAGUCAACAAGACAAAGCAACGCCUACAGAAUGGGAAAAGAUCUUCACCAACCCCGCAUCUGACAGAGGGCUGAUAUCCAGAAUAUAUAAAGAACUCAAGAAAUUAGACAUCAAAAUGUCCAACAGUCCAAUUAAGAAAUGGGCUAUAGAACUAAACAGAGAAUUCUCAACAGAGGAAGCUCAAAUGGAUGAAAGACAUUUAAGGAAUUGCUCAACAUCCCUAAUCAUCAGGGAAAUGCAAAUCAAAACGACUCUCAGAUACUACCUUACACCUGUCAGAAUGGCUAAGAUCAAAAACACUGAAGAUAGCUUACGCUGGAGAGUAUGUGGAGCUAGGGGAACUCUCCUCCACUGCUGGUGGGAAUGCAAGCUUGUACAGCCACUUUGGAGAUCAAUAUGGUGCUUUCUUAGAAAAUUGGGAAUCAAUCUCCCCCAAGACCCAGCUAUACCACUCUUGGGCAUAUACCCAAGGAAUGCUCAAUCAUACUACAAGGGCACUUGCUCAGCUGUGUUCAUAGCAGCAUUGUUUGUAAUAGCCAGAACAUGGAAACAACCUAGAUGCCCUUCAACUGAAGAAUGGAUAAAUAAAAUGUGGUACAUAUAUAAACAAUGGAAUGUCAGGAGCCAAGUAGCCUAACUGAUUCUCAUGGGAAAAAGCUGUGUACCUAACCUUCUGUUAACAGUUUCAAUGCAACCAUUUUUCAACAAGACCACAGUAUGUACCUUUUGAUCAACUCCUUGAAACAUAAUGGUUUGCUGUAUGGUCCGUUGACCAGGCCCUGGAACAAAGAGACCUUUUCCUGAACCCUACCUUACCCUAACUUCCUCCUAGUAACUUUCCAUACCCCUAUCUACUUCUCCUAGCCCCUAGCAUAUAUAAGCCUGACUCCCCUUGCAAUAAACGAGACCUUGACGUGA